rnacentral:rRNA from 1 species
CAGCAGCCGCGGUAAUACGGAGGAUGCAAGUGUUAUCCGGAAUCACUGGGCGUAAAGCGUCUGUAGGUGGUUUAAUAAGUCAACUGUUAAAUCUUGAGGCUCAACUUCAAAAUCGCAGUCGAAACUUUUAGACUAGAGUAUAGUAGGGGUAAAGGGAAUUUCCAGUGGAGCGGUGAAAUGCGUAGAUAUUGGAAAGAACACCGAUGGCGAAAGCACUUUACUGGGCUAUUACUAACACUCAGAGACGAAAGCUAGGGUAGCAAAUGGGAUUAGAUACCCCAGUAGUCCUAGCCGUAAACUAUGGAUACUAGAUGUUGAGCGGAUCGACCUGUGCAGUAUCAAAGCUAACGCGUUAAGUAUCCCGCCUGGGAAGUAUGCUCGCAAGAGUGAAACUCAAAGGAAUUGACGG